CGAACAGCUCAGUAACUCUUAUUUUAUUUGAUGUAUUAGGACUAUAACUAUGUUAAAUUAUAGAUAACAAUAAUACAAUAAGAAUAAGAUCUAUCAGUUAGUUGUUAAGGUAAUGGCUUAACAAGACUAUGACGGAUAACGGUAUUACUUUGUAAUAUUCCGGAGAAGGAGCCUGAGAGAUUGCUACUAAGUCUAAGGAUUGCAGCAGGGGCGAAACUUGACCUAUGAUAUGAUAUUGAGGCAGUUAUGAGUAGUAUUUUAUAAUUAUUGUAGUAUUGUAAGUAUAUGCUACAAGAUAAAUCGGAGGGCAAAUCGAGUG
rnacentral:rRNA from 1 species